rnacentral:rRNA from 1 species
UACGGGGGGGGCGAGCGUUGUCCGAAGUUACUGGGCGUAAAGCGCGUGUAGGCGGGUUGUUAAGUCCGCUGUGAAAGCCCGGUGCUCAACGCCGGAGGGUCGGUGGAUACUGGCAGUCUUGAAGUGGCUAGGGGGAAAUGGAAUUACCGGUGUAGCGGUGAAAUGCGUAGAUAUCGGUAGGAACACCAGUGGCGAAGGCGGUUUCCUGGAGCUAACUUGACGCUGAGACGCGAAAGCUAGGGGAGCAAACGGG